GACGAACGCUGGCGGCGUGCUUAACACAUGCAAGUCGAACGAAGUGGCGAACGGGUGAGUAACGCGUAAUCAACCUGCCCUUCAGGGGGGGAAAAAACUUGGAAACGACUGCUAAUACCGCAAAGGGCAGGAGGGGAUUGCGUCGGAUAGGCUAGUUGGAGGGGUAACGGCCUACCAAGGCGAUGAUAAGUAGCCGGUCUGAGAGGAUGAACGGCCACAUUGGGACUGAGAAACGGCCCAGACUCCUACGGGAGGCAGCAGUGGGGAAUCUUCCGCAAUGGACGAAAGUCUGACGGAGCAACGCCGCGUGAGUGAUGACGGCCUUCGGGUUGUAAAGCUCUGUUAAUCGGGACGCGGUACCGGAAUAGAAAGCCACGGCUAACUACGUGCCAGCAGCCGCGGUAAUUC
rnacentral:rRNA from 1 species